CUUCUAAACAGGAAAUAUUGGGGCUAGGAUUAACUUAGUUUGUAUACUUCUCUUAAAUCUUAUCAUUAUAGAAAUUUUAAUAAGCCUUCAAAAGGGUCGAUGCUGGUUUGCUUAACAGUUGGGGUGAAAGUGGUGUCACCUUUUAGUUUUUGCGGAGAUACGGAAGCACAAUGCGAGGCAGCAGCGGAGGAGGGGUAUUUUGAAAAAUUUUAAAAGAAAAUGGUUGCCUUCAAAUUCUAUUUCCACUUCCAGUUCGGGCGGUUUACGCACCAUUCUUGGCCCCAAUCUCCCAGACGUCUGGAUCCCACGUGGCAGUGGCUACCAUGUUAACACUGCUACCUGUCCCAGCUCCUUUGCUGAUAGACAGACUGCUGCAAUAAUUUAUGGGAAGUUGAUUGCUUAGGAUAUAAAGUUACAGAUAGCUAAUGAAAUUAGUAGAAUGAAGGCUUCCAUUGGAAAAUCACCUGGCUUGGCAGUUGUUUUGGUGGGUGAGAGAAGGGACUCUAAGAGUUUCGUUCGCUUCAAGUUAAAAGCUUGUGAUGAAGCUGGAAUUGCAUCUUCGGUAUCAAAGUUGCCCGAAGACUGCUCAGACAAAGAACUUUUAAAUGUUGUGUAAGGAUUCAAUGAGAACCCAUUAGUACAUGGUAUUAUUGUGCAACUUCCUCUACCAAAAGUAAUUUCUGCUACUGCUUCGAAAUUCUUCAGUUUUUGCCCUUCACUUUGUCAACUCUUUGAAAAGAACUUUGCAAAAUCUCCCAUGCUUUCUUUGAGGUGGUUGCAUCGGCCACCUUUACCAACAUUGAUGGAUGAGGGUGAGAGCUUGUUGAUCCUUCUUCCUUGUCUUUGCCAAGCAUCCUUCUCAAUCUAUGGUAAAUUGGCUUCAUUUUCAGGUCAUAUAUAACCUUUCUUAACAACAUUCCAUGCAUCUUGUGAGCCAAGUACGAUUUUUGUGUGAAGAAACCAUGUUUUAUAAUUUUCUUUUAUCAGGCGAAGAAAUUGAAACGAAUAAAGUGCAUUGUUAUUUGUCA